rnacentral:rRNA from 1 species
AAAGAUUAAGCCAUGCAUGUCUAAGUAUAAGCAAUUAUACCGUGAAACUGCGAAUGGCUCAUUAAAUCAGUUAUCGUUUAUUUGAUAGUACCUUACUACUUGGAUAACCGUGGUAAUUCUAGAGCUAAUACAUGCUGAAAACCCCAACUUCGGAAGGGGUGUAUUUAUUAGAUAAAAAACCAAUGCCCUUCGGGGCUUCUUGGUGAUUCAUGAUAACUAAACGGAUCGCAUGGCCUUGCGCCGGCGACGGUUCAUUCAAAUUUCUGCCCUAUCAACUUUCGAUGGUAAGGUAUUGGCUUACCAUGUUUCAACGGGUAACGGGGAAU